rnacentral:rRNA from 1 species
UUCUAUAAGUAAUAGUUUAUAGUAAAACCUGCUCAAUGUAAUAUAUCAAUAGCCGCAGAUCGCCUGUGCUAAGGUAGCAUAAUCAUUUGCCUCUUAAUUAGAAGAUAGAAUGAAAGGUUAAACAUUUAAUACAUGUCUCUUUAAGCCUUGAAUGAACUUAAAAACAAAGUAAAAACUCUUUCAAAAAACAGCAGGACGAUAAGACCCCGAUAAACUUAAACUAUUAGUUGGGGAAACAUAAUAAUUACUAUUUAUUAAACAAAUCUUAACACAACUAAAACAUUAAACAAAGAUUAGUUACUACGGGGAUAACAGCGCUAUUUCUUUUUAGAGACCUUAUCAAAAAAGAAGCUUACGACCUCGAUGUUGAAUUAGGUAAUCCAGUAUAAAGCAACAUUUUACAGGGAUGGUCUGUUCGACCAAUAAUAAUCU